UACGUAGGGGGCAAGCGUUGUCCGGAAUCAUUGGGCGUAAAGCGCGCGUAGGCGGCCAGAUAAGUCCGGUGUGAAAGUCACAGGCUCAACCUGUGAAUGCCGCUGGAAACUGUCUGGCUUGAGUCCGGAAGGGGCGAGUGGAAUUCCUGGUGUAGCGGUGAAAUGCGCAGAUAUCAGGAGGAACACCGAUUGCGAAGGCAGCUCGCUGGGACGGUACUGACGCUGAGACGCGAAAGCGUGGGGAGCAAACAGG
rnacentral:rRNA from 1 species